GGCCCCAUCGUCUAACUGGUUAGGACAGAUGGUUCUCAGCCAUCAGGCACGGGUUCGAAUCCCGUUGGGGCUA
rnacentral:tRNA from 2 species